GUGAGGAAUAUUGGACAAUGGAUGGAAAUCUGAUCCAGCCAUGCCGCGUGCAGGAAGACGGCCCUAUGGGUUGUAAACUGCUUUUAUACGGGAGCAAUAAGGUCUAUGCAUAGAUUGAUGAGAGUACCGUAUGAAUAAGCAUCGGCUAACUCCGUGCCAGCAGCCGCGGUAAUACGGAGGAUGCGAGCGUUAUCCGGAGUUAUUGGGGUUAAAGGGUGCGUAGGCGGCUUUGUAAGUCAGCGGUGAAAUUUUGCAGCUUAACUGUAAAAGCGCGGUUGAUACUGUGAAGCUAGAAUUUGGUUGCUGUGGGCGGAAUGUGUGGUGUAGCGGUGAAAUGCAUAGAGAUCACACAGAAUAUCGAUUGCGAAGGCAGCUCACAAAGCCAAUAUUGACGCUGAGGCACGAAAGUGUGGGGAUCAAACAGGAUUAGAUACCCUAGUAGUCC
rnacentral:rRNA from 1 species